rnacentral:rRNA from 1 species
GUAAGGAAUAUUGGACAAUGGACGCAAGUCUGAUCCAGCCAUGCCGCGUGAAGGAUUAAGGUCCUCUGGAUUGUAAACUUCUUUUAUAAGGGACGAAAAAAGGCUUUUCUAAGUCGUCUGACGGUACCUUAUGAAUAAGCACCGGCUAACUCCGUGCCAGCAGCCGCGGUAAUACGGAGGGUGCAAGCGUUAACCGGAUUCACUGGGUUUAAAGGGUGCGUAGGCGGGCAGGUAAGUCAGUGGUGAAAUCCUAGAGCUUAACUCUAGAACUGCCAUUGAUACUAUCUGUCUUGAAUAUUGUGGAGGUAAGCGGAAUAUGUCAUGUAGCGGUGAAAUGCUUAGAUAUGACAUAGAACACCUAUUGCGAAGGCAGCUUACUACGCAUAUAUUGACGCUGAGGCACGAAAGCGUGGGGAUCAAACAGGAUUAGAUACCCUUGUAGUCC